rnacentral:rRNA from 1 species
GACGAACGCUGGCGGCGUGCUUAACACAUGCAAGUCGAACGGACAGGCCCUGCUUUUGUGGGGUGCUCGAGUGGCGAACGGGUGAGUAACACGUGAGUAACCUGCCCUUGACUUUGGGAUAACUUCAGGAAACUGGGGCUAAUACCGGAUAGGAGCUCCUGCUGCAUGGUGGGGGUUGGAAAGUUUCGGCGGUUGGGGAUGGACUCGCGGCUUAUCAGCUUGUUGGUGGGGUAGUGGCUUACCAAGGGUUUGACGGGUAGCCGGCCUGGGAGGGUGACCGGCCACAUUGGGACUGAGAUACGGCCCAGACUCCUACGGGAGGCAGCAGUGGGGAAUAUUGCACAAUGGGCGGAAGCCUGAUGCAGCAACGCCGCGUGCGGGAUGACGGCCUUCGGGUUGUAAACCGCUUUCGCCUGUGACGAAGCGUGAGUGACGGUAAUGGGUAAAGAAGCACCGGCUAACUACGUG